GACAGAGGGGGCAAGCGUUGCUCGGAAUCACUGGGCGUAAAGGGCGCGUAGGCGGGAUGGCAAGUCGGUCGUGAAAUCCUUCGGCCCAACCGAAGAACGUCGGCCGAUACUGCCGUUCUUGAGGGAUGCAGAGGAGACUGGAAUUCCCGGUGUAGCGGUGAAAUGUGUAGAGAUCGGGAGGAACACCGGUGGCGAAGGCGGCAUCCUGGACCGGCAUUGACGCUGAGGCGCGAAAGCCAGGGGAGCAAACGGG
rnacentral:rRNA from 1 species